GAAACUCAAAUGAAGUUCGACGGGGCCCGCACAAGCGGUGGAGUAUGUGGUUUAAUUCGAUGCAACGCGAAGAACCUUACCUGGUCUUGACAUCCCGGAGACCCUUAGGAAACUAGGGGGUGCUUCCAUCUGGAAGAAUCUGGAGACAGGUGCUGCAUGGCUGUCGUCAGCUCGUGUCGUGAGAUGUUGGGUUAAGUCCCGCAACGAGCGCAACCCUUGCCUUUAGUUGCCAGCAGUUCGGCUGGGCACUCUAAAGGGACUGCCGGUGUUAAACCGGAGGAAGGUGGGGAUGACGUCAAGUCCUCAUGGCCUUUAUGACCAGGGCUACACACGUACUACAAUGGCCGAUACAAAGGGCAGCGACACUGCGAGGUGAAGCCAAUCCCGUAAAAUCGGUCUCAGUCCGGAUUGGAGUCUGCAACUCGACUCCAUGAAGUUGGAAUCGCUAGUAAUCGUGGAUCAGCAUGCCACGGUGAAUACGUUCCCGGGCCUU
rnacentral:rRNA from 1 species